UACGGAGGGGGCUAGCGUUGUUCGGAAUUACUGGGCGUAAAGCGCGCGUAGGCGGCUUUGUAAGUUAGAGGUGAAAGCCCGGAGCUUAACUCCGGAACUGCCUUUAAGACUGCAUCGCUUGAAUCGUGGAGAGGUGAGUGGAAUUCCGAGUGUAGAGGUGAAAUUCGUAGAUAUUCGGAAGAACACCAGUGGCGAAGGCGGCUCACUGGCCCGGUACUGACGCUGAGGUGCGAAAGCGUGGGGAGCAAACAGG
rnacentral:rRNA from 1 species